rnacentral:rRNA from 1 species
CGGUAAUUCCAGCUCCAAUAGCGUAUACUAAAGUUGUUGCAGUUAAAAAGCUCGUAGUUGGAUUUCUGCGGGGACGGAGCGGCCGGUCGCAACUUGCGACUCGAGCUAGCGCUUUCCCCGCAUCCUGCCGCGAACCGUGCUACCAUUAGUUUGGUGGCGCUGGGGAUCGGCUCGAUUACUUUGAGAAAAAUAGAGUGUUCAAAGCAGGCCACACGCCUUGAAUAAGUUAGCAUGGAAUAAUGACUAAGGACUUCGGUUCUAUUUUGUUGGUGUUCGGGACUGAAGUAAUGAUUGAUAGGGACAGUUGGGGCGGUCUGUAUUCCAAAGCGAGAGGUGAAAUUCUUAGACCUUCGGAAGACAAACAGCUGCGAAAGCGUUCCGCAAGGAUGUUCCCUUUGAUCAAGAACGAAAGUUGGGGGAUCGAAGACGAUCAGAUACCGUCGUAGUCUCAACUAUAAACUAUACCAGCUAGGGAUCGGCCAACGUUUAAUUAUUCGACUUGGUCGGCACCUUAUGAGAAAUCAAAGCAUCUGGGUUCCGGGGGGAGUAUGGUCGCAAGGCUGAAACUUAAAGGAAUUGACGGAAGGGCACCACCAGGCGUGGAGCCUGUGGCUUAAUUUGACUCAACACGGGAAAACUUACCAGGUCCAGACAUAGGAAGGAUUGGCAGAUUGAUAGCUCUUUCUUGAUUCUGUGGGUGGUGGUGCAUGGCCGUUUUUAGUCGGUGAAGUGAUUUGUCUGCUUAAUUGCGUUAACGGACGAGACCCCAGCCUGCUAAAUAGCGCGGCCGAGCUUUGCUCGGUACGAGCUUCUUAGAGGGACCAUGAUGCGCGAUAGCACAAGGAAGUUUGGGGCAACAACAGGUCUGUGAUGCCCUUAGAUGUUCUGGGCCGCACACGGGCUACACUGGCGCCUGCAACGAGCAUAUCAGCUGGCCCGAGAGGGUCUUGGCUAAUCUUUGGAACCGGCGCCGUGCUUGGGAUUGACCAUUGCAAUUGUUGGUCAUGCAACGAGGAAUGCCUUGUAAACGCGAGUCAUCAGCUCGCAUUGAAUACGUCCCUGCCCCUUGUACACACCGCCC